rnacentral:rRNA from 1 species
UACGUAGGGGGCGAGCGUUGUCCGGAAUUAUUGGGCGUAAAGAGCGUGUAGGCGGUUCGGUAAGUCUGCCGUGAAAGCCCGAGGCUCAACCUCGGAACUGCCUUCGAUACUGCGGGUCUCGAGUCCGGGAGAGGUGAGUGGAAUUCCUAGUGUAGAGGUGAAAUUCGUAGAUAUUAGGAAGAACACCAGUGGCGAAGGCGGCUCACUGGCCCGGUACUGACGCUGAGGCGCGAAAGCGUGGGGAGCAAACAGG